rnacentral:rRNA from 1 species
AUUGAACGCUGGCGGCAGGCCUAACACAUGCAAGUCGAGCGGGGUUUUCGGAGCUAGCGGCGGACGGGUGAGUAAUGCGUAGGAAGCUACCCGAUAGAGGGGGAUACCAGUUGGAAACGACUGUUAAUACCGCAUAAUGUCUAUGGACCAAAGUGUGGGACCUUCGGGCCACAUGCUAUCGGAAGCGCCUACGUGGGAUUAGCUAGUUGGUGAGGUAAUGGCUCACCAAGGCGACGAUCCCUGGCUGGCUUGAGAGGAUGAUCAGCCACACUGGAACUGAGACACGGUCCAGACUCCUGCGGGAGGCAGCAGUGGGGAAUAUUGGACAAUGGGCGCAAGCCUGAUCCAGCCAUGCCGCGUGUGUGAAGAAGGCCUUCGGGUUGUAAAGCACUUUCAGUAGGGAGGAAGCGUUGUGUGUUAAUAGUACACAGCGUUGACGUUACCUACAGAAGAAGCACCGGCUAACUCUGUGCCAGCCGCCGCAGUAAGAC